GACGAACGCUGGCGGCGUGCUUAACACAUGCAAGUCGAGCGGUAAGGCCUUUCGGGGUACACGAGCGGCGAACGGGUGAGUAACACGUGGGUGAUCUGCCCUGCACUCUGGGAUAAGCCUGGGAAACUGGGUCUAAUACUGGAUAUGACCGUGGGAUGCAUGUUUCAUGGUGGAAAGCUUUUGUGGUGCAGGAUGGGCCCGCGGCCUAUCAGCUUGUUGGUGGGGUAAUGGCCUACCAAGGCGACGACGGGUAGCCGACCUGAGAGGGUGACCGACCACACUGGGACUGAGACACGGCCCAGACUCCUACGGGAGGCAGCAGUGGGGAAUAUUGCACAAUGGGCGGAAGCCUGAUGCAGCGACGCCGCGUGAGGGAUGAAGGCCUUCGGGUUGUAAACCUCUUUCAGCAGGGACGAAGCGUGAGUGACGGU
rnacentral:rRNA from 1 species